UUUUGUGUAUGUAUUUGAGGUCUUAGGUUUAAGUCUUACUUUUGAAAAAUAUGUUAUUGUUGGUCUUAACCUUAUCCCUCUUAGGUGGGCUUAUGUUAUAUUUUUGGUAAGCUCAUCUCAAAAUGAACCUGUUGGUUCGAGUGGUAAGGUGUUAGCUUGUUGAGGGUCUCGUAUUCGAAUUCUUGCGUGAGUGUAGAUGGUAAAUUUUGCUUCGGUUGGCUGAUAAGAGGUUCGGUGAGACUGAAAGUCUGUGGUAGUUGGAUGAGGUUAGUGGGUCAGAUUCUAUGGGAUUAUGGUUGGUUAGUGGGGAGUUGGGAUGCUAAUAGGAUUUUAUUUUUUUUGAAUUAAAUAAUUUUUAUUUUUAAUUUCCCAAAAGUACUCCUCCUCUUGUUUUGACUUUUUCUUCUCUGUUCUUUCCCUCUUCUCUACAAAAUUCCUUUUCUUCUUCUUUG
rnacentral:lncRNA from 1 species